rnacentral:rRNA from 1 species
CGUGCAGGUGGCGCGGUAAGUUGGGCGUGAAAUCUCCCGGCUCAACUGGGAGAGGUCGUCCAAUACUACCGUGCUUGAGAGCAGAAGAGGAAGAUGGAAUUCCCGGUGUAGUGGUGAAAUGCGUAGAUAUCGGGAGGAACACCAGUGGCGAAGGCGAUCUUCUGGUCUGUUUCUGACACUCAGACGCGACAGCUAGGGUAGUAAACG